rnacentral:rRNA from 1 species
UUGGAGGGCAAGUCUGGUGCCAGCAGCCGCGGUAAUUCCAGCUCCAAUAGCGUAUAUUAAAGUUGUUGCAGUUAAAAAGCUCGUAGUUGAACUUCAGGCCUGUCCAGACGGUCCGCCUUAAUUGGUGUGUACUGUCCUUGGGUGGGUCCUACCUUCUGGCGAAGCGGCAUGGCCUUAAUUGGUUGUGUCGGGGAACCAGGACUUUUACUGUGAAAAAAUUAGAGUGUUCAAAGCAGGCAAAUAUGCUCGAAUACAUUAGCAUGGAAUAAUGGAAUAGGACGAUGGUUCUAUUUUGUUGGUUCUAGGACCGUUGUAAUGAUUAAUAGGGAUAGUUGGGGGCAUUAGUAUUCAAUUGUCAGAGGUGAAAUUCUUGGAUUUAUUGAAGACUAACUACCGCGAAAGCAUUUGCCAAGGAUGUUUUCAUUAAUCAAGAACGAAAGUUAGGGGAUCGAAGACGAUCAGAUACCGUCGUAGUCUUAACCAUAAACUAUGCCGACUAGGAAUCGGGCGAUGUUGACAAAAUGACUCGCUCGGCACCUCAUGGGAAACCAAAGUGUUUGGGUUC